CGCCCUGUGGUGGAUUCUGCAAUGAUAAAUAAGGGGCAAUUUGCAUUGUAUGGCUUCUAAACCAUUUAAAGUUUAUAAUUUAUUUUAUAAACGACAAUGGAUGUGAUGCCAAUGUAAUUUGUAACAUAGUAAAUUAGGAGGAUCUUCGAUCACCUGAUGCCGCGCUAGUUACAUAUAAAAGCAUUAUUUAAUACAAUGACAAAGCCUAGAAUCAAUUGUAAACGACUUUUGUAACAGGCAAGGUGUUGUAAGUGGUUGAGCAGCUGCCAUACUGCGAUCCACUGAAGCUUAUCCUUUGCUUGAUGAUUCGA
rnacentral:ncRNA from 1 species